GAUUGCCUGAUCCAAAUGCAACACCUUGAACAUGGCCUUGUUGAACCUCAUUAGGUUCUCACUGGCCCACUUUUUGUGCAUGUCCAGGUCCCUCUGGUUGGUGUCCCUUCCUUCUAUUUUAUCAACAGCACCAUCAGCUUCGUGUCAUCAGCAAACUUGCUGAGGGCACAUUCGAUCUCACUGUCUAAGUCAUUGGUAAAGAUGUUGAAGAGCACUGGUCCCAAAGCAGACCCCUGGGGGACACCACACAUGGCUGGCCUCUGCCUGGACAUAGAGCCAUUGCCCACAACUCAUUGGCUGUGACUACCCAAGCAGUUCUUUAUCCACCUAAUAUUUCAGCUUUCAAAUCCAUAUCUUUCCAAUUUAGAGAGCCUUUUCCAUGUCUGUUGGAGCCAGUUCUCCCUCCCCACUUAUCAGAAGGGUUACAUUAUCCCUUGCCUUUCUCUUCUGACCAAUGUACCUAAAUCACUUCCUGUUAUUUUUCACAUCCCUUGAUAAAUUUAGUUCCAUCUCCACCUCGGCUUUCCUGAUCCCAUCUCUGCAUGUCCAGGUGGCAUCCCUGUAUUCUUCCCAGGCCACUCAUGCCUGUACUUUUCCUUCCUAUCCCUCAGUCUGACCAGCAGGUCCUUGUUCAGCCAUGCCAGAAUUCUGCCUUCUCUACUUGAUUUUUUCUGCUGGGGGUGGAGAGUUCUUAUGCUCUCAGAAAGCCAUCCUUAAAGAGCUACCAGCUCUGUUCUGUUUCUAUGUCCUUAAGGACAGUUCUCCAGGGGAUUCCAUCUAAUAAUUCCUUAAACAGCUGGAAUAUCACUAUUCUGAAGUUCAGGGUCCUGACUCUGUUUUUUGCCAGGCCCAUAUUCCUUGAGAUCAUGAACUCAGCUGGGUCAUGAAUGCUACAGCCCGGAAAAACAAAGCAGCCUUGUUGCUGUGAUUAGACUGCAUUUAUAAGACAUGAUUCAGACACCUAAAUUUAGGUGUGUAUGCUGUAGGUGUCUAUGACAAGGCAGCUCUCUGUGGCACCAUUAUCAUAAAUGUGAUUAAAAAGUCCAUUCAGUUUCCUAAAUCUUAGUUGCCCUGUGUCAUUUGAGAUUCUCAUUUGACAUUCUGUUACUCAGUUCACAUGGAAUCUGUGGCCUGCUGCAAGGCAAAGAUCCCGCCAGAGACCAGGCAGGAUGUACUUGGGCUGGGACUCAAUUCAGCUGCUCACACACAGGCAUCUAUUACCAUCUGAGAUCCCCUCGGAAGUCCAAGAAGCACACAAGGCUGGAAGACAUGCCACACAGAGCCUCUGCGAGCAGUUAAUUGUGUCCUGGCCUCCUCAGCUGGCUGUAGGGAUCAACCUUCCUACUCACAGGCUUCCAUGGCCAUGCAAAAAUCUUUUUUGAAGCUCCUCUUUGAGUUCCCUGUGGCAAGAAACAGCUGUUUCUGUUCUAAACUCGGCUCCUCAUGCUCUCAGGCCAAUCAUGUCAAUCUGGUGGAGUAAAGGUCUAAAGGUAAAUUAUGUUCACAUCUCUUUUUAGGUAUUUUUGUGUCCAUUAAUUGUAUUGGGUAUCUUCACAGUGAUUCAGGUGUCCCAGUGUAUUUUCCAGUCCUUCUGUAAUUUGCAAAUGCUCACAGUCAGAAAUGGUAUAUUACAAAGAGCCGCUCCUACUAAAAUAUCACCAGUGGGAAUCCAUCAGUGAAAUUUUAUGUUCCAUUAAUGAAAUUUCCAUUAGUGAAAUUAGUUAUACAGCCAACAUAACCAUCUAUUAUAUGUUGGAUCAACACUCCUCUCCCUUCCUGCCUUGGAACAGGCACACAAUUCAUGGCACUGCUACAACAGGGAGAUAAAAAGGGAGUGUUUUUGGAUAUAGAGCCUCUGCUAUAAAGUAGAAGCUUGCCUGUGAGGGAAAAUACAUCCAUAGGAAUACUGUUAAACAGCUAUUACUGAAAUAGUGUGACAACAUAUGUAGGUAGCUUCUCUCUGGAUUUAGAACACCACUUUUCAGUUUAGCAUAUGCCUGUUCAAGACCAUUUUAAGCCAAAAAUGAAAACAUGCUUGAAAUCACAUAGAGGUUCACAAAGGGACUAAAAUUAACUUACUCUCAGCGAUAUAAUUAAACCAGUAGAGAUGAUAAACUUCCCCAGAGAUAAACACCCUUAAAUAAACUCUAGUUCUGCAAUAGCGUAUUUUUUUCCCAGCUAACAACAAAACACAAAGGCACAGUUGCAUAAGCUGCUAUACCUCAUGAUGCCCCAUUGAAUGAGAAGGCUCAACAGUGGGUCUGUCCCAUAUCAUAUUUGCUUAUGUUAUCAGAACAAUGCUGGAUGUGAGUAUCUCAGAAGAACAGUUAUCCCCUAGCAAACAGUGCUGGGGAAUGUUAUUUCAGUUCUGAUGUUGAGAUCCUAAUAGCCUUCAGGAAGCACUGGGCGUGUAGGUUGCUGCCUUUUCCCUGUCUGGCACCUCAGUGCGAUAGUGCGGAAAAUAGACUGUGAAGCACAACCUUCACUCGGGUUGUUAAAAAUAAACACAUUUAUAUUUUGUGACCGAAGGCUAGCACUGGCUCUAUUGCUCUCCAUAAACUUUCUAUCACCUCUGAAGAUUAACCAGCUUGGGAGCUUUUAAUAUAUCAUCAUCGUUACAUUUGCUUUGGGUAAAUUUACCUAAAAUGUCUUUGCAGAGGAAUGGGUUGCAAGGUAGCAAGGGAGAUGAGAAAUUGGUAUUCACAAGCUACUGCGUUGCAAAGGUUAACUUAUAAAAAUGUCUGCUGGCUUGGGCAGUAUUCUUCAUUCUCAUUUUGGGGAAUGAAGGUUUGGUUACAUUAAGAUUUCUUACUCAUCCAAAAGUGCCCUCACAUACAUAAAUAAGAGAAGCUACCGAGUUCUGAAAAUAAAUCACUAAGUUUGCUUGGAGAAGUUUAGGAAUCUCUUAGGGUUGUGAAAAUAGGAAAAAAAAAAAAAGAGCUUAUAAUAUCUAUAUUUGUCUUAAGAAAAAAUUUUCAGUAGGUCACUGGAUAUUCACACAGUACUUCAUCAGAGGCAUCUUCCAAGGACAGGACAUAGCACUGAGGAAAUGAGUGCCAGAGUCAAGAUAGCUAGUUCUUGGUCAAACUCAAGCUAUUCUGGAAAGAUGAAGUAUCCAACAUCUACACCGAGAGCUUGGCCUGCUGAUGAGAGUUCUUUUUUGGAGUAGGAAUGCCAAAGGAAUGCUGUAGCAGGAAAACAGAGUUUUAUGAGCCAGGCAAGUAAAAGCAGUGCUGGUGCUCAGUACUCAUCUUCCAACAUUUUGCAAGACAUCCACUUGCUUACCUACA